rnacentral:lncRNA from 1 species
GGAUGUUCCUUCUGCAGCUCUUACGGAGCAAGAGGAAGCAGGCUUUGAAACACAAUGUUCAUUGAAAUCGGCUUUCAUCUAAGGAAUCCCAUGGUGGCUCCUGGUCCACGCGAUGUGCAUUCUGUCUGCAGCUGGGCUCUCCUGAUGCAUUUCCGUUGUUUGUUCUAGGGACACCUCAUCCUAUAUAUUGCUGCACUUCCUUCUCUGCUCCACUCCAUCUGGACUUACCAACCUAUAAUGCUAAGAAACCAACAGGACAUCUACAAAGGCCUGGGUCAUGGCUGCAAUUCUCUGCACCUAAGAAUAAAUGAGAAAGAAAUAAGAACACAAUAAAAGAAAGAGAAGUGGAGGAUCA